rfam:Acetobacter tropicalis NBRC 101654 DNA, contig: 0236.
CCCAGACAUCAAGAGUCAGGCCUGUCGCCUGACACCAACCUGCUCCCGGCAAGGUGGUGCCUUCACAAACGUGAAGGGAUGUGGCCAGACCGGCAAAAACGGGCAUAGUC